UAAGGAAUAUUGGACAAUGGACGCAAGUCUGAUCCAGCCAUGCCGCGUGAAGGAUGAAUGCCCUCUGGGUUGUAAACUUCUUUUAUAGGGGAAGAAAGAUACUUUUUUUAAGGUAGUUGACGGUACCCUAUGAAUAAGCACCGGCUAACUCCGUGCCAGCAGCCGCGGUAAUACGGAGGGUGCAAGCGUUAUCCGGAUUUACUGGGUUUAAAGGGUGCGUAGGCGGGCAUGUAAGUCAGUGGUGAAAUGCCGGAGCUUAACUUCGGAACUGCCAUUGAUACUAUAUGUCUUGAAUAUUGUGGAGNUAAGCGGAAUAUGUCAUGUAGCGGCGAAAUGCAUAGAUAUGACAUAGAACACCGAUUGCGGAGGCAGCUUGCUACGCAAAUAUUGACGCUGAGGCACGAAAGCGUGGGGAUCAAACA
rnacentral:rRNA from 1 species